rnacentral:lncRNA from 1 species
ACCUCUUGAAGCUCUAGCUCAAUUCUCUUGGCGUUGCUCUUGUAGUCAUCUGAUAAUCUAGUUCUUGUCAUUUCUUCUUGAACUUCUUGUUUAGAUUUCUUGUUUGUAUUUUUGGUCCGUAACAGUUUGUCGAGACUACCUUUAUUUUAAUAUCAAAGCUGAAUCCUUCUUGUUUGAGAGCGGAUUACCCCUCUUCUUGAAGGUAUUCUAGCGCUUUAGGGGUUGCGGAUUACCUUCCUCUAAACUGAUAUUUUCUCAAUC